AUGCUAGUUACUGAGAUAUUCUUUCCAUGCAUCAAGAAAUUAGACAAUGGCUUACUGUGGGCUUGAGAUUUCCUCCUUCCAUCUGGUGUAGUGAACUUUGUAGGUUCAUCUAACUUGGUUGCAGGUCCACAGGUAUACCCUGGAUCAGGGGCCUUCAGAGUGAAAUUCACAGGCAAUUCCAGGGUCUUGCUUGUGGUCCCUGAUCGACCAACUGAAACUUCAAAGGAGGCCACAACAUUAGCAAGGUCUUGUGCCAGUGAGCUAAGGACUCCUCCUUUGCAGCAGUUGGCCCUCUUCCUAUUGGGAGGUGCCCCGGGAAGCAGGUCGACUAUCUCCGGGUUCACCUUGCAGUUGUGAGGGAUACUCUCUUUGAAUUUGGAGCAAUCGCCUUGCUCUGUAGCCUGUCCACCUUGCACAUACCAGAUUACCUCCUUCUUUGACUACACCCACCCAAGCUUCCAUCCCGGUGGUUGA
rnacentral:rRNA from 1 species